AAAUUACAAAAUGUUAGAUAAACUGUAACCCAUAUUUCUGAAAGAAGGCUGGAUUAAAAGUGCUGACCCAGCAACACUUCUCGGACUGGAACUUGGAGGACGUGCAAUUUCCUGAGGAGGAACGUAAAGGGAUAACGAAGUGCGCUUUCCCUCUACGCGGAAUUAUUGGAUCGCCACGCGAACCUCGCAUACGAAUGCGACGUUAAUAUCUGUAAGCUAUCUCUCUCUCUUUCUCUCUCUCUCUCUCUCAUUUACGAGAGGGAUGGUUCGAGCUUUUAAUUAAGUCUAACGCGGCCGCCGUAAAGGCGAAGAACGCGCGUUACGAGCGACGCCACCUAUGCCACUGACCAUUGUCUCGCUUACGUUAGUCAUACAAAUACAGAAUAAGUGUGUGCGCGCGUGCACACACGUACGAAGGGGAGGUCAUGACGACGACGACGACGACGACGACGACGACGACGACGACGACGACGACGACGACGACGACGGCGACGACGACGAUGGCGACGACGACGACGACGAUGGCGACGACGACGAGGGUACCUGUGGCGGCUGCUAUGGGCGUCGAGGACGUUGCACUGAACCGCUUCGCCCCGUGAGAACGACGGGAGCACAGAAAGAACGGUGGAACGAGCGAAUACGUGUGGAAAAUGCGAUUGCUGGAAAGGAGACGCGACGCUCUCGACGACGUGCCGCUAUUUUGCGUACGCUCGUCACCCAGAGUGGGAAAGAAGGAAGGAUGGAAAGCGGAGGGUGGAAACGCCAAGAGCUUCUACAAUGAAAGGACUUUACGAUCAAUCACCACUGAAGUAUCCAGAGUAAUCAUACAAAUUGUUCGUAUAAAUAACUCGACACUCUUAUACUACUACGUAUAGUAUAAACUCGAGAAUAUCGAUUUCGUUCUUUCCAUAGACUGCUCCGUAAUAUCGACUGAAAUUUCAAUCUGUCUCAAGUGGAAACGUAAACGGGGUAGAAGGGAGGGAGCGAGGGGAAAGAGAUAGUAAAUUGGAGGCCUUAAAGCACGUUCGAACGUUAGAUAGGAGAAAUUAUCGAGUUGUGAAUCAUUGCUUCGAGAACGUCCGUGAGUAGGGCCAGAUAGACGCGUCGCGGGAGAGAAAGGAAAGGGCAGAAGAGGAUAAGAAGGAGGGUUGGGAGACGCGCAACAGUGUUUACACUUGGCGGUCAAUGAACGCCAUCCAUGAUCUCGGAAACCAGACCACGAACGUCUGUCUUUAUCUUUUCCUCUCUUUCUCUAACGUCCUAGAUUAUUUUAUAUUAUCUUUAUUUUCUUCUUUCAUAACUUUUCCCAAAAACGAUAUAAUCGUUUUCUUCGAUUCUAUUUUUUUUUCCUC